CUGCCCGGGCCGUCAGUCGCGGCGGGGCGGGGGCGGUGCUCGGAGGUCUCUACCCGCCCCCGCCUCGGCACUGCCCCCGCCCCCAGCACCGCCCGCCGGCCCCGGCCCGGCCUCGCCUCGCCCCGGGCUCUCCGCGACACCACCGCCAGCAGCCGCAGCAGCGGAGGCAGCGGCGCCCCGGCAGCAUGAAGGUGACCGUGGACUUCGAGGAGUGCCUGAAGGACUCGCCGCGUUUCAGGGCAGCUUUAGAAGAAGUAGAAGGAGAUGUGACAGAACUGGAACUGAAACUUGACAAGCUGGUGAAGCUUUGUAUUGCAAUGAUUGAUACUGGGAAAGCAUUUUGUACAGCCAAUAAGCAGUUCAUGAAUGGAAUUCGAGACCUUGCACAAUAUUCCUUUAAAGAUGCAUUGGUUGAGAACAGUUUGACAAAGUUCUCUGAUACAUUACAGGAAAUGAUCAAUUAUCACAAUAUUCUCUUUGACCAAAUCCAAAGAUCAAUUAAAACACAGCUUCAAACUUUUGUUAAAGAAGAUAUUAGGAAAUUUAAAGAUGCAAAGAAACAGUUCGAAAAAGUGAGCGAAGAAAAAGAGAAUGCUCUGGUGAAAAAUGCCCAAGUUCAAAGAAAUAAGCAGCACGAAGUAGAGGAAGCAACCAAUAUUUUGACUGCAACUCGGAAGUGUUUCCGACACAUAGCUCUGGAUUAUGUUCUUCAGAUCAAUGUUCUUCAAUCUAAAAGGAGAGCAGAAAUCUUAAAAUCGAUGCUAUCAUUUAUGUAUGCACACCUGGCUUUUUUCCAUCAAGGCUAUGAUCUGUUUAGUGAACUUGAGCCCUAUAUGAAAGAUCUUGGUGCACAGCUGGAUCAGUUGGCUGUAGAUGCUGCAAAGGAGAAGAGAGAUAUGGAGCAAAAGCACUCCACUAUUCAACAAAAGGCUGCCUUACAGGAUUAUUCCAGUGAUGAUACAAAACUAGAAUACAAUGUAGAUGCAGCCAAUGGUAUUGUAAUGGAAGGUUAUCUGUUUAAGCGAGCCAGCAAUGCCUUCAAGACUUGGAACAGGAAAAAGCCAGAUCACAUCAGGCGCUGGUUCUCAAUACAAAAUAACCAACUUGUGUACCAGAAGAAAUUUAAGGAUAAUCCCACAGUAGUUGUUGAAGACUUGCGGCUCUGCACAGUUAAACACUGUGAAGACAUAGAAAGACGUUUCUGUUUUGAGGUGGUUUCUCCAACAAAGAGCUGCAUGCUUCAGGCGGACUCGGAAAAGCUGCGGCAGGCCUGGAUUAAGGCUGUUCAGACCAGUAUUGCCACAGCAUACAGAGAGAAAGGAGAUGAAUCUGAGAAACAGGAAAAGAAAUCAUCCCCUUCUACUGGAAGCCUAGAAUCUGGGAGUGAGUCAAAAGAGAAGUUGUUAAAGGGAGAGAGUGCUCUGCAGCGAGUUCAGUGUAUUCCUGGUAAUGCUGCCUGCUGUGACUGUGGCUUGGCAGAUCCUCGCUGGGCCAGUAUCAACCUUGGAAUCACACUGUGCAUCGAGUGCUCUGGGAUACACAGGAGCUUGGGAGUCCAUUUUUCAAAAGUAAGAUCUUUAACGUUGGAUUCAUGGGAACCUGAACUCCUAAAGCUUAUGUGUGAAUUGGGAAAUGAUGUUAUAAAUAGAAUAUAUGAAGCGAAGUUGGAAAAAGUGGGAAUAAAGAAGCCACAAUCUGGAAGCCAAAGGCAGGAGAAGGAGGCAUACAUCAGAGCAAAAUAUGUGGAGAGAAAGUUUGUAGAGAAGCAAGCUGCAUCAGUACCUCUGCUUGAAUCUGGAACAAAAGUUUUGCCUCCAAGUCAGGAAGAGAAAAGGCACAGUGGCCCUGAAAAAUCCCUUUUGGCAGGGGAACAAGGUGCAGCAUCCCAAAAAGCGGUUGCUGUAAGUAGCGACGAGGCGAGACGGGAGUCUCUGUUCUGUCCUGAUGAACUAGAUUCACUCUUCUCCUACUUUGAUACCUCUUCAAAACUACGUAGUAUCCGAAGCAGUGACAGUGGGAUCCAGCCGAGUGCUGAGGACAGCAGAGAACACCUUGCCUCUACUGUAUCAGCUAACAGUUUGUAUGAACCAGAAGGAGACAAGCAAGAGUCUUCUGUGUUCUGUGACUCCAAGCAGCCUAGUCCAGGAUUGCAGUUGUACCGAGCUGCCUUUGAGAAGAAUCUUCCUCAUAUGGCAGAAGCAUUGGCCCAUGGAGCUGAAGUAAACUGGGUCAACGUAGAAGAAAACAAAGCAACUCCACUCAUUCAGGCAGUGCGAGGGGGUUCAUUGGUUACUUGUGAAUUUUUGCUGCAGAAUGGGGCCAAUGUGAACAUCAGGGACAUGAAGGGAAGAGGGCCCCUGCACCAUGCCACAGUUCUGGGACACACUGGACAAGUGUGUUUAUUCCUAAAACGAGGAGCAAACCAGCAUGCCACUGAUGAAGAUGGGAAAGACCCACUGAGUAUAGCAGUAGAAGCUGCAAAUGCAGAUAUUGUAACAUUGUUGCGUUUAGCACGGAUGAAUGAAGAAAUGCGGGAAUCAGAAGGACUCUAUGGGCAGCCAGGUCAAUACUCUACUAAUAACCACACUGAAAUGCAGUACAGGAAGUGUAUACAGGAAUUUAUCAGUUUACAAUUAGAUUCUUAGUGUCUGAGGGAAAUCCAAGAUAGCUUCAUACAUUUAAUGUUUUUUUAUAAACCAACACAUGUUAAAACUUCAUUGAAAUUCACUGACAUAACUUUGUAAGAGUAUUUAGAGGAACUAAAAGGAGAGUUUAAAUAGCAUCAUUAUAGUAGUGUGUUACUACAGCCAUUACCACUCUGUUUUGCUGGUAGUUGUCCACAGUUUUCUUCCAAUUGUUGUUCCUUUGAAAUUUGUAUAAUGUUAGGAUAUAUCUGACAUUAUUUAACAGUGGCUUUCUGACCCAUCUUGCUCAGAGGAGUUGAGGAGUUCAUCUUAUUACAGGAUACCAUUCUCCUUCCUGUGGAAUGGUCCUCUUUUUCUUUUUGUAAGAAAAAAAUGGUUGCACACCAGUGUAAAAAGUGUACAUCAAAUAUUUCAAAAUAACUCCAGACAGAAAUAGGAAAGUAUUAUUUCCUCAAAUUUUAUUUUUAAAUAUUUUUAUUUGUUAAGAUACUAAUAAGAAACAAAACAGUCAUUCUUGAGUAUGUAUUUUUGUAUGCAUAGUAUCUUUCUGUUUGGUUAAAAAACUGGCAGACAUUUGAGCCAACUGCAACAGGAAAGUAUCAAAUUAUAUUUAAUGAAUAUGUGCAACUUUAUUCUCAGGCACUCAGUCCCAAUUUAUACCAUGUCCUAAUGUGAUAUUUGUGCAAGCCAUUGCCUCUGUUAUGGUAUGCUUCCACAGGAACCUAAUUUAAUGUCAUGCAAAUACCAGUAAUGAAGGCACACUUGAUUGUGAAGUUAGACAGCUAAAAGCACCCUGCUAUACCUGGCAGAGGUGAAAGGCAAACCUUACUUUUAAGGUUAAGUGCUGAGUACUCUUGGCUCACUCCUAUAAAGCCCUUCUGUAUUUUCCACUGAUUCAAAAGGAUUGUGUGCUUAUAAUUCUUACCAGAUUAAGACUGAAAUAUAGUCAAGGGGCAACACUGAGCCUAAUGUCAAAAUCCUAGAUGAAAUCUAUUAAAUAGACCAAUUUUAUUUGGUUUCUCCUUAAGAAUAGGGGUUUUUUUAAAUCUAUUUUUGAACAAAUCUUCAAGGAAAUUCAAAUUAAACAAGAAAAGUACUAUAGACACUCAGGAAUUCAAAUGCUUUCCUUGACAGUGAAACAGUUAAUUUACAAGUAUUUGUCUGAUUAUGAGCUCAAAAGAGGAAGAAUUCCCCUCUCAGAAAAUGAGGAAGGCUGUUGCCAGUGUGGCCAAUUUCAAUUUAAAGAUGUUUUCUGAUACAAUGCAUACUACUUCACUGACAGGCUAAAGGUAGCAAAUGCUGAAGUAUUUCUGAGUUUCCUCUGUUUUGUUUUAAGUGGUAAAAAUAAUAACUAUCAGUUUCAAAUAGUAAAAUGGCUUUGUUUUAAGGGAGGUGUGUAUUUUGGCUCAAAAGCUCUGUGCUAAAUCAUAAGUGAAUAUUUUAGAUCAUUUCAUUGACCUAUCACAAAUCCAAAAUUAUUAUAAACCAGAAAAAAUGUUUCCAUGGUUUGUACAAAAAUCCUUGGUUUUUUACUAAACCUUACAAAUGUUCAUGAAUGCUUCAUUCCUAACAAAUACAGGCACUGCCUACAUGAAAACGUGAAGUAGAUGGGGGAGACUAUUUUCCCCUGAAAAUUCAUUUAUAUAUAUAUAUAUUUUUUAGACACAUUCUUCAAUUAGGUAGGUGAAAUAAAAAGCUAGAAAAAUAUUUCAUUGAAAAUAUUGUGACCUUUCUAUCAGUCUGUAUUACAGUAGAAUCUAGAGACUGCAGUUGAUACAAUCUCAUCCAGAUACUUUGCAGCUGGUAAGGUGAGAUUGACAACAGUGAGUUGCCACAGGAGGCAGAGCUUCCCCAAAAUCAGGGGAAGGUAUCAGUAAAAUAAUUUUUGACAUUAAGGCCAGAAGCUGUAGCACAGAGUCCCAGCCAGGAGAUCUUGCUGUAUCUUUGGGUAGCACAGCACUGCCCCCUUCUAUUCUUUACUUGCUGAAGCCUCUUUUAAAAGUUUAAAAGUCAAUAUUUGGGUGUUUUGAAUGUUCAUGUCUGCUGGAAGGGUUGUGUCAGAGUAAGCACAAAACCUGUCUCUGCUGUCACAAGGUAUUCACACCUUCUCGUGGUUGUAGGAGAUGCAGGUCUUUUUCACUGCAUAUACAAGUUAAAUUAUUUGCACUGCCCUUAUUUUAGAGCUCCAGUGUUCCAAAAUUAUGAUUCUAGAAGAAAAUAAGGAUUUUCAAGACAAUUGUAUUUUUGCUGGGAGCUAUGUGAGGGUAAAUAUUGAUGUAUGAGUUUGCUGUCAUCAGUGAAGCCAACUACCAACUCCUCAGCUCUAGUAAUGCAGUUGAACAAUUGCUAAUGUAGCUAAUGGCAUCAACAUUUCUAAUGUAAAUCUAUCUGGCUGGUUUGAGCUACUGAGAGAAUGUAUAUAUUGUUUUGCAAGGUACAGUUGGUCUUCCAAAAUAUUCCUAGAAUGGGAACUAGCUGAAAACAGCUUGUUCCACAAAAGGUUCGUUUCUGGUGGUAGAAGCCAUAUGCACCAUAGUACUGUUCCUUGUAUAACACUUGAGUGCUCAUCUCCUGGUGCUACAGUAUGUCUGCCAACUCUUUGGUACUAGCAUUGCUACUUUUUCUUCCUACCUUUUCUUGAAUGUAUGAUGUGUGCCUUUUGAGUUACUCUGGUGUUAAAUGGUAAAGCAGUGUUACAGUAUUUUUGUACAUAAUAUCUGCACUUUAGGGAAAACAUUGCUUGGAGUUUCCAGAAUUCAGUUUUAAAGUAGAAUUUUAAAAUAAUUAUAAUGUUUACAGUAUUAAGUACUUUAAUGCAGCAUACAAACUAAAGGGGCACUUUAUUUUAGUCUAUUUUUGUAUGUAAUAUUUUUGUUAUGUAAUAGAGCCAAAAACAGAGCCACAAUGUAUCUUGCAGAAAUAGCUUUCCAUUUUUCUUUCAAGUUAAUUUGAAAGAAGCAAGUAUGGCAACUUGAACUACAGUAUUAGUUCAGCAGUGAAACCCACUUCUGUAUUAAAAGCAUAAUUGCUUUUAUCACACAAGCUUGAUUCUGCCUUGUGCCCUUCAUAGCUGUUCUUUUGGUGAAUGUUGCAGCUCCAUUCUGUACUGAUCUCCCAGUGCAGGCAGUUAUCACAAACUGCUACAAUGAAAUGUGUCCUGUGCCUGCUUCAUCUCUAUAACACAGAAUCUCAGAAUGGUUUGGGACCUUAAAGAUCAUCCAGUUCCAACCCCUCUGCCAUGGGCAGGGACACCAUACUUGAAAUUAAAUCUGAAAACCAAAAAGGAAUUUCCCUAGAACUGACUUUUCCUAUAGAGCAGUAUUGAAUGUAUUCAUCUUUCAAAGUCUGGGAAGAAUUAUGUCACUGCAUCUUUGUAUAAACCCACAUGCCAUGCACGUUAAAUAUUUCUGGAAGGUCAGUUAUCAUUUGUAAAAGUGUUUUCAAAAGAAUGGAGUCUCAUCUCCAAAAGAAUAAUAGUUCUAACAUUGGAAAUAGAAAUUAAGAUAUGGAAAACCAAAACAAUGUAACUGUUCACAGUAGUGCAAAUGUCUAAGCACAAAAACAUUCUUUUUUUCCACAAUCAUGUUGGAAAAAAAAGCUUCAUGUUCAACAUACAUGAUGAGAGGGAUUUUGGGUUGAUUUCUUUGUCAUGCUAUUAAUCAAGCUGUCAGCAAGAAACAGUAGUGCUGGGAUCUUGUGCACUGUGUGAUCAUCUGUGUGGGGAAGACAGUAAAAUUUGGAUGGCUGCAUAACUCCAGACCAAAUGAAAUGUGUGAUGCAUUUAAUUCCCUUUGAAGGCAAUAGGGUAUGGUUAAUGUUUUAAAAUGAAACCUGAACUCAAGGCCCAAAAUGCUGCAACAGAUGAAGGAAUGUGAAAAUGUCCAUUUUAAAGUGGCAAAAGAAUAACUUGGCAAUGACUCAAGAAGUAAUCAUUCCUGAAUAUGUCUUCCUGUGUGGAGGGGGAGGAACACAGGCCUGGUGGAAAUUGGUGCCAUCCCUCAUUUUGGAAUAUAUACUAUUGGGUUGUGUUUAAGCACAGAGAGUGAAGAUUUAAAAAAAAAAAAAAAAAAAAAAUAUUUUUAAGGGAAAUAUCAUCACUCUUAUAGAUAAAACUGAAAAAUAUAAUGAAAGAUGUAGAUGAAGCGAAUGUAAAAAUUUAUAUUUGCUGAAGUAGUAGACCAAAAGAAUUUAUGACCCAUGAUUUAUCUACUUAGGAUUGCUUUUUUUUUUUAUAUACUAUUGCUUGCUGAUUGUUUCUUUCAUGGAAAGUUCUGUUUGGCUGUAAGAAUUCUGACCUCUGUUUCCAAGUUAAUCUUUAUUUAUGCCAUAAUUCUAUUUUUCUGAAGAUGAUCUUGGUUAGCACUACCUUGCAAAAACAAGGAUUUUAUUCUUUAAUGGCUAAUAAAUAUUUUUCUUUUUAAGUUGCUUUAAAAUGCUUUCACUUUUCCUUUCUAACUCUAAACUUUCCUCUGUGUGGCUGCCUGUGAGGUACUAUUUCAGGAGAUGAACUUUAUCAGGACAUUUUUCGUGACUUUUCUCAAAUGGCAACAAAUAAUCCAGAGAAGUUAAACCGCUUCCAGCAGUCAGAUUCCCAGAAGUCUUAAGUGUCAAGAAGGAAAAGAACCUGAUGCUUAUAGUACAAGUCAUUUUUUACUUUGACAGAAUGAAUUAUAUGCAUUUUGUUAGAUA